AUGGAGGAAGAGGACGAAAACCAAGGGUGGGGAGGGGGAAGGCAUGAGCAAAUAGGGGUUACAGUUGAUGUUGUUGAGAGGUCAGGAGAUGAUGUGGAGGAUCAGACAGGGCUAACCUCGCGGCUGUCAGUUAAGCAUGUCGUCGAGGUCAUCACAAAAUUCGAUGAGUACAAAAGAUGGCUUGUGUCUGAGAUUGGUUUUGAGGGUAUGCUUAAACUCCCACUGUUGGGGAAGAUGGAUCUAAAGAUGAGUGCGUGGAUUAUGCGGAAGGUGAAGGUGAAGGUGCGUGCAAUAGUUGUUGAUGAACAUAGGGUGAUUCCUUUUGUGCCAGAGGAUUUUCACAAAGUAUUUGGCAUUCCGUGCGGCAACCGCGCUGUUCGUGGAAGGGAUGGCAAAAUAAAGAGUGCAGCAGUAGAGUUCAUGAAGCAGACAAUUGGGAUGGAUGCAUCUCCUGCUCAGAAUCUCAAGAUGGCAGAAGAUUUUCUUAGUAGGGAUAUAUCAGAUGAAUCAAGCAAGAUUGAGAAGGACUGUUUCCAGAUUUCAUUUGUUAUAUUUGUGAUGGGUUAUGUCUUGUCCCCGGGCACAAAGUAUGAGCACAUGACCAUUGAUUUUUGGGGGGCUCUCGCCAAUCCUGAGCUGAUUUCCCAAUUUAAUUGGUGCGAGUAUGCUGUUGAUAAUCUCAUGGCAGCUGUGAUGAAGUUGCAGAGGGAAUAUCACAACAAGGCGCAAGUGGUUCAUCUUUCUGGAUGCCAUUUGUUCUUCCAGAUUUUCUUGCUAGACAACAUUGAUCUUGGGAUUUUCAACAUGAUACACUCUGUAUUUCCGAGAAUUCAGAGUUUUGACUACAAAAUGCUUCGGCAGAUGAUUACGAUGGCGCGCUGCGAGCAGCGAGGGAGCAUAACAUACGUCCCUGGAGCAAUUCGCCCACCAGAUUCUGUAUGCUAUGUGCCUGUAAGUGUGACGAGCGCAAUGUGGACGGACGGUAUGUCACUUCCAUCUUCGUCCAAACAACCAUCAUCAAGGAUGUCUGUCACACGCAAAUGUCGGACAUCAAAGGCCCUGCAGGAGCUGAGUCUCAUGUUGAAGCAGCACAAUGCCAAGUGCACGCUCGCCGCGACAUUGUUGAGGAACCAACUACAGUCUGAUAUGUUUUGCUUUGCGGAGAAAAUGGUCGAACUUGUGAAGGACCGCUGCAGGUGUUGUUCGAAUCGAGGAUUGUCCAAGUGUACUAGUCUUGAGGAUACUGAUGUGGAUGGUAAUUCUAGUAGGCGAGUUUUCGAAGUAGGCCGUCGGCUUGAUAUGGGUUGUGACGAAGUCCAUGCAAAGUCAAAGGUUUACGAAGAUUAUCAAAGAAUGAAAAGGAUUUGUGUUGAACGAAACAAAAACAAAGCUGAAUCAGGGCAGGGCCAGUCGCGGACGAAAGAUGAUGUUCCUGUCUACAACAAUCCUGUGAUAGAGAGAAAACCAGAUGAUAGGGGGAAGAUGUUUGAAGACCGAAUUGUAGUCUAUGCACAGACUAUUGCUGAAAUGGUUCAAUCUCUAUAUGAUACAGAUACGAAGGAGGCAACAUUUGUUUAUUUUCACUCAACUGAGUCUAAAUUACCCAGGCGUAGGAAUGUCAUGUCGGCAAGCUUUUGCAAUGAUCCAUGGUCACGGGGAUGUGUCCCGCAACCUGCUUCAAUCCCGUUGAUAGGCAAGUUCAAUGCAUGGAUCGGUGGUCAGAAAGACCUUGAUUUGAAUAGUGUUUGGUUGCUGCAUACAUCGCCAAGGCUCUUGAGGGUAAAUGUUGUAUGUAUUCAGCAGCAGAUACUUGGAUCAGAAGCUCUUGACCAUGAGGUUGCUACCCUUCUUUUGCGGCGUUUUUACCAAAUUGACACUGGGGAUGGAGGAGCAAGUACCUACAUGUUGUGGAGGGAAGUUCUUGAACCAGAUUUUUCGACGCAUGCUCUUGCCGGGGGGAAAGUCUUGCAUGUGAAAGCUGUACAGGGGGUAUUUACACAUGCAAAUCAUGAUAUAACGACGUGUAGGAUGUUUUUCGUACCUGCUGUGUUGGAUCAAGGGUGGGCGGCGUAUAUGUGGGACAUGAUGAGGAAGGAGAUUCAUGUCCUCGACCCUAUGUGUCAGCAAGCUAUGGGUUUAGAGCAGCGUCACUUAAUGCAUGAAGUGGCAGUCUCACAAAUUCAUGCUGCGUUAUUUGGCUGCUUGAAUGAAUACUUUGCAAAAUGGCAUCGCGCUUCUCAAAGUUGGAAGCGGAAGUUCCCGAAGAUUACUGAUGACUUUUUCACAAGGGAUGAGUCUGGAAUAUGCAUGAUCCAUGCUAUUAGGAAUUAUUGUGGGGAGAAGAUGAUGUGUGCACUUACGAAGAAUAAUAUUGCAAGUUUUAGGAAAUUGGUUGCUUAUGAGGUCUUCCAUUUACGCGAUGAUCGUGGCGAUUUCGUGGCUGAUGAUCUCCUGCGCGCUGCGUUUGAUGAACCUGAGGAGCGAUGUGAAUGA
rnacentral:rRNA from 1 species